UACGUAGGGUCCGAGCGUUGUCCGGAAUUAUUGGGCGUAAAGAGCGUGUAGGCGGUCAGGUAGGUCCGUUGUGAAAACUCGAGGCUCAACCUCGAGACGCCGAUGGAAACCAUCUGACUAGAGUCCGGAAGAGGAGAGUGGAAUUCCUGGUGUAGCGGUGAAAUGCGCAGAUAUCAGGAAGAACACCCGUGGCUAAGGCGGCUCUCUAGUACGGUACUGACGCUGAGACGCGAAAGCGUGGGGAGCGAACAGG
rnacentral:rRNA from 1 species